CCUACGGGCGGCAGCAGUGAGGAAUAUUGGUCAAUGGACGCAAGCCUGAACCAGCCAAGCCGCGUGCAGGAAGACGGCCCUAUGAGUUGUAAACUUCUUUUGUACAGGAGUAAAGUCAGAUACGUGUAUCUGUUUGUAAGUACUUUAUGAAUAAGGAUCGGCUAACUCCGUGCCAGCAGCCGCGGUAAUACGGAGGAUCCGAGCGUUAUCCGGAUUUAUUGGGUUUAAAGGGUGCGUAGGUGGGUGGUUAAGUCAGUUGUGAAAGCUUGCGGCUCAACCUCAGAAUUGCAUUUGAUACUGGCAGGCUUGAGUGCAGUUGCGGUAGGCGGAAUGUAUGGUGUAGCGGUGAAAUGCUUAGAGAUCACGAAGAACACCGAUUGCGAAGGCAGCUUACUAAGCUGCCACUGACGUUGAGGCUCGAAAGCGUGGGGAGCAAACAGGAUUAGAUACCCCUGUAGUC
rnacentral:rRNA from 1 species